rnacentral:rRNA from 1 species
GACGAACGCUGGCGGCGUGCUUAACACAUGCAAGUCGAACGGAAAGGCCCUGCUUUGGUGGGGUCCUCGAGUGGCGAACGGGUGAGUAACACGUGAGUAACCUGCCCUUGACUUUGGGAUAACUUCAGGAAACUGGGUCUCAUACCGGAUAGGAGCUCCUGCUGCAUGGUGGGGGUUGGAACGUUUAGGUGGUUGGUGAUGGAAUCGCGUCUUAUCAGCUUGUUCGUGGGGUAGUGGCUUACCAAGGCCUUGACAGGUAGCCGGCCUGAGAGGGGAGCCGGCCCCGUCAGGACGGAGAUACGGCACAGACUACAAUCGGACGCAACAGUGGGGAAUAGUGCACUAGGGGCGGAAGCAUGGUGCAGCCCAGCAGCGUGGGGGAUGACAGCAAUCCGGUUGUAAAGCGAAUUCGCCUGUGACGAAGCGUGAGUGACGGUAAUGGGUAAAGAAGCACCGGCUAACUACGUG